rnacentral:snRNA from 2 species
AUACCUUUCUCGGCCUUUUGGCUAAGAUCAAGUGUAGUAUCUGUUCUUAUCAGUUUAAUAUCUGAUAUGUGGGCCAUGUGCCCACUUCGAUGUUAAAUUUAUUUUUUGUGGGGGAGGGCCCACCACAGUGGCUAGCCACUGGGGCCCUCGCGCGUCGCCCAGGCGUUGCACUGCUGCCCGGGCCUGGCGCACCACAA